CCUACGGGCGGCAGCAGUGAGGAAUAUUGGUCAAUGGGCGGAAGUCUGAACCAGCCAAGUAGCGUGCAGGAUGACUGCCCUAUGGGUUGUAAACUUCUUUUAUAUGGGAAUAAAACGUCUUACGCAUAGGCCUUUGUAUGUACCGUAUGAAUAAGGAUCGGCUAAUUCCGUGCCAGCAGCCGCGGUAAUACGGAGGGUCCGAGCGUUAUCCGGAUUUAUUGGGUUUAAAGGGAGCGUAGGCGGAGUGUUAAGUCAGUUGUGAAAUGUUGCGGCUCAACCGUAAAAUUGCAGCUGAAACUGGCAGGCUUGAGUACAGUAGAGGUGGGCGGAAUUCGUGGUGUAGCGGUGAAAUGCUUAGAUAUCACGAAGAACCCCGAUUGCGAAGGCAGCUUACUGGAGUGGAACUGACACUGAUGCUCGAAAGUGUGGGUAUCGAACAGGAUUAGAUACCCCUGUAGUC
rnacentral:rRNA from 1 species